rnacentral:rRNA from 1 species
UACGUAGGGGGCAAGCGUUGUCCGGAAUUAUUGGGCGUAAAGAGCGUGUAGGCGGUCCGGUAAGUCAGCUGUGAAAGUCAAGGGCUCAACCCUUGAAAGCCGGUUGAUACUGUCGGGCUAGAGUCCGGAAGAGGAGAAUGGAAUUCCUGGUGUAGCGGUGAAAUGCGCAGAUAUCAGGAAGAACACCCGUGGCGAAGGCGGUUCUCUGGGACGGUACUGACGCUGAGACGCGAAAGCGUGGGGAGCGAACAGG